GAGAUCCACAUUGAUGAACUCCAGGAUUAACAAGCAAACAGACUGGCUACUCUGCUGAGUUACUUGUGCUCACUGCUUCUCUUUGCACAUUUGGAGGGUGUCACUGAAUACAAUUGGAAACAUUGGUUAUUUUACCAAGGCUUUGGCUGGAGCAUCAUAUUUGAAAAUGUGCAUAGACUACUGGGUUUUUUAGCCUUAUGAAAAGAAGGCCCAGAAACUUUAAAUAUAUUUUAAAGAUCUGAAGAAGAGAAGAAUUCAUCCAAACCUAUUGGCAUUACAGAACAAAAACUGCCCUUUUCCGGAAGCCCUGCAAGCUGAAGCUGGACAACUUAAUCUAGACUUAAAGAGAACUCACCACCACAGCUUACGUAUGGACAACUUUUGUGCCUGUUGCUGUGAGCUGCUCAGACAUCACUGGAAACAUUCAAACUGCAAAAGAUGCUUCAAAGUCAGAUGGACCCACCGGGACCAGCAACUCUUCCGUGGCUCCCACCCAGAAGCCAACUGAGUGCACCAGGACCAGCUUCCACACCCCGAUGGUUGCAUCCCCAACCAAUCAGCAGUACCAAUUCCCUAGUCCUCUGUCUGCCAAACUAUCCUUGCAAAACCCUAGCUUCCACAUUUUCGAGGAGGAUGAUUUGAGUAAUAAUAAAACUCCCAUCUCCCCUUUA